rnacentral:lncRNA from 1 species
GAAGAAAAAGAAGAAGAAGCCAGACCAGGAAAGUGAAAGGAAAUGGAUAUCGCUGCUGGAGGCAACGACUAAUUUAAGCAGAGUAGGAGAAAAACUCUUUUUUUUUUUCCUUUGUGCCAGUUCCUUUUACACGACUUCAGAACAUUCUAUGACAACCCAGCGUGCAACUUGGCACUGUCAGAAGAGUCCUGGGAAAGAAAGGAAAUGCGUUUUUCAGAACUUUACUAGGGGUAGUUGAUCCAAAUGGCAUUAUUGGAUGUGGUGGUUUCCGGACACCCACCUGUGACACUGCGGUGACCGGUCUCCUGUCUGGCCUGAAGUGGAUCUGGACCCCACACAGUCCCCAUGUACAGCUGAUACCAGGCUGAAGUGGAUCAGGAGGCUGAGGAACUAAGCCAGUGUCAGGUGGUGCACCAGGCUGCCCAAGUAAGAGGCCCUACACAUGCAGGUGGAGGCUUAGAUGAACACAGGAUGAUUAUGGAGCAAUACUUGAAGCCCAAAUGAAGCUCUGAACCCGGAGACUUCUCAAAACCUGUCAUCAAUGCUCUAACUCUUCUGUGGCCACCUCCUUCUACUGGAGUUUAGCCAGAAAAUGAGAAAACCAAUAUUGGACUGUACUGGACAGGACAUAUGUACUAUAUCAGAUUCUCCCUGGCCACAUGCAUAGAGUCUCUGUCUUUUCCCACCACUUUAAAGACAUUGAUAAAAUGCCAUACCACAGGGCAUGAGAUCUGGCAUCCCAAGUUGCCACCAGCAAACCUAGAAGUGUGGGUUCCAACUCUAUGGGUAUAUCUCAGUCAUUUAGCAUCUGCUCUAUCUUUGAGGCUGAGUUUCCAGAAGACCUGAUUCAACCAGAAGCAAAAGACAGUAGCCAAGAAGAUGGCAUAGCAUAAGAAUCUUGGAAAUUGAUAAAAACAUCCCAGAGAUAUCCAACAAAAUUAGUAACUAUGUGAAGAGAUUCUGUAAUAUUGGGUCUAUUGGGCUCUGUGGGAAGGUAUUCCCUUUGGAAAUGACUGAAAUGGAAAUUUUGAACCACUUUCAAUGAUACAAGUUUGGGGUUAACAUGGAGAUGGUGCUUCACAGAAGACACCACAUUUCAAUAAUUGUAUUCUUAUCGAAUUGUUUAAAAUUGGUCAGUGACUAAUAUUAAGCCUCUAAGAACAAAAUUCAUUAGGUUUAUUUAGCCUGUUUUUGCAUUACUGCUACAAAAUCCAAUAGUUUAAAUAGCUAACUGAAUACUUUUGAUGUUAAAGAGCAAAAUUUCAUGAAGAUUUUAGAUCAAGAGAGCUACCACUGAGAAAAAACAAUGCAGAUUUGUGGUAAAGUCCCAUGAAUUUGUUGAACUGCCAAGGCUUCUGAUCAUCACUGCUGAAGAACUUCUAAUGGUGACUUCCAUCUCAGCUUUCUCAUUGCCAACUAUUAAGAAUGUAUGGAUUAUCCAGAUGUUGCAACACAGUUGUGUUUUUGGCUUCACCACUCCCUCUGGGCUGUGAUUCUGUUUUUUUUUUCUUUUAUUGUUGAUGUUCUUUGUUUUUAAUAUGAGAAAGAUUUGUGUAUUAUACUUCAGUUUUAGUUUCCUUAAUCACAGACUAGACAAAAGAAAAUUGGCUUGGUUUCCUAUUAGGAAACCACUUAGAAGCCAUUAUCAGAAUCGUAGACCAUCACUGUGAACUAUAUCCAGGUGUUGUCAUGAAAGUAUGACAUCCUAGAGUGGAAAAGCAACCUGGGUUUCCGAGACUGUUUUACUCUUUUAUCUGGAAUGUUGUUUUAGCUGCUAUGGCUCCAACAGGGUGAACAUAGCAUUUUAUUUAAUCUAAAUAUCUUUCUGCUUUUUUUUUCUAAGUUGCAAAAAGUCAAUGACCACAUUUCAUCUCUAGCCUCUCGUGAGGUUUAAAUUACACAAGGAAGAAAUAUUUACAAUGUCAAAUGCUGAAGAUUGUUUGGAGUCAGAAGUGAUUGUUCAGAAUCUGUCUUAAUGACAAGUCAGAAAUUAGACAAAGAGAUGAAAUGCUAAGCCCCCAAUGUGUUCUGAAAAGUUAAAUAACCAUCUUACAUCAGUUGGUACGUUUUUGUAAGAGUCCAGGAUGUAAAAGUGAUAAAUAAAUUAAUGAAAAGCACUUUUAAAAAUCAACAAAAGACAUGGCAGGAAAUGGAAGAAAAGAGAAGCAAGGGAUGCAUUCUAAUAGAUAUUAAGAACAAGCCAAAGUGCAGUAUUUGCUCUAGGGUUUUACUGUUCAUUGUGUCAAGACUCACAGAUUUUAGAUAUUUUUUUUAAUUGGGAAAGUAAAUGAGGCAGGUAGAUAAGUAGAAAAAGUUGUGUGAAACUCAUCAGUACUGAAAAUAAAUAGUUGUACUUCUCUGU